rnacentral:rRNA from 1 species
UACGAAGGGGGCUAGCGUUGUUCGGAAUUACUGGGCGUAAAGCGCACGUAGGCGGACUAUUAAGUCAGAGGUGAAAGCCCAGGGCUCAACCUUGGAACUGCCUUUGAUACUGGCUAUCUUGAGUUCGGGAGAGGUGAGUGGAAUGCCGAGUGUAGAGGUGAAAUUCGUAGAUAUUCGGCGGAACACCAGUGGCGAAGGCGACUCACUGGCCCGAUACUGACGCUGAGGCGCGAAAGCGUGGGGAGCAAACAGG